rnacentral:rRNA from 1 species
UCUUUUAAUUAAAAUGAUUCUUUUUAAGAUCUUCUUUUUUCUUCGGCAUUUGGAGAUCUUGUUACUUUGAGUAAAUUAGAGUGUUCAAAGCAAACAGAUAUAGCAUUUGCGUUUGAAUACUACAGCAUGGAAUAACAAAAUUGAACAAGUCAGAAUUUUGUUCUUUUUAUUUUGGCUUAGUUACGAUUAAUAGGAGUAGCUUGGGGGCAUUUGUAUUCAGAUGUCAGAGGUGAAAUUCUUAGAUUUUCUGGAGACAAACAACUGCGAAAGCAUUUGCCUAAAAUACUUCCAUUAAUCAAGAACGAAAGUUAAGGGAGUGAAGACGAUCAGAUACCGUCGUAAUCUUAACCAUAAACUAUGCCGACUAGGCUUUGGAUGAAAG